AGCUCCAAUAGCGUAUAUUAAAAUUGUUGCGGUUAAAACGCUCGUAGUUGGAUAUUUGUUAUGGACGGUCGGUCUACCCCAGUGGUCAGUACUUCGAUUCGUUCUAGGCACUUUUCUGGAGGAAGUGUUUGCACUUAAUUGUGUUGCACGUGCUCCGUGACAUUUACUUUGAGGAAAUGAGAGUGUUUCAAGCAGGCAUCUGUCGUGAAUGCGCUAGCAUGGAAUAAUAGCAUGGGACCAUUGCUUGACUCUGUUGGUCUUGGGCUGUGGUAAUAAAAAUAGGGACAGUUGGGGGUAUUCGUAUUUAACUGUCAGAGGUGAAAUUCUUGGAUUUUUUGAAGACGGACCACUGCGAAAGCAUCUACCCGGGAUGUUUUUG
rnacentral:rRNA from 1 species